ACCAAUUGAUGAAAAUUGAAGUAACUAAAGAAAAUAUAGAGGAGAUAGAGAGAAUUAGAGGUGGGGGGCUAGCUAAGGAGCCAUGGGAGACCUGAUGUCAUGGCUCUUGUCCUUCUUCUUCCAUGGCUCUCUUGUUGGCCUCAUCGGCUACCAGCUCAUGUGCUUGGCCGACUUGGAGUUCGAUUAUAUGAACCCAUAUGAUUCAUCAUCCCGGAUAAACAGAGUUAUUUUGCCCGAAUUUAUCAUUCAAGGAGUCUUGUGCCUCAUCCAUCUUGUAACAGGACAUUGGUUUAUGUUUCUGGUCUCUCUCCCAUACUUAUACUACAAUGUCAGAUUGUAUAUGCGGAGACAGCACUUAUUAGAUGUAACUGAAAUCUUUAACCAGUUGAAUCGGGAAAAGCAGCUACGGAUUUUUAAGCUUGUCCAUCUUAUCGUCCUCCUAACCACUUCUAUUUUCUGGAUGAUUUGGAGCAUCGGAGGCAUAUGAUUAAUCAAGCAUCAGUGCUUCUAUGAAGUGUUCCCCACUUGAAGAUACUUUCCUUUUGUGGAGUGUGAUGGAGGAUCAGAAAUUAUUGCAAGAUAUGGGAAUUGCAGAGGAGAGAGAGAGAGAGAGAGAGAAAGAAUGUGAAUUUUCUGGAAAAGAAAAUACUCUUAGUCUCAAUGUUGAGCUAUCUUUUACUAACUAGGUUGUUUCUGGCGAUGAAGAGUCUGAGGUACAAACUCCUGCGAUCAUAGUUCUUUUACAAAUCUAGCUAGAAUUUUAUACUUACUGACAAUGUUCCACACUGUUGUAACAUCAUGUUGGGUAGUGCCUUAUGUGCCUUUUAAUACUUGGGCUCUUCCCUUUUACUCAAAAUUUUCUCACUCAUAAUGGUAAAACUGCUGCUAAGAUAGUGCUGUCCCAAUCUGUUUCAGUAUGCUAGAUUCUCAUCCAAUUGUAUUGACACAGAAGUUAAUGUCUUAUUUGAUAUGCAAGUGAAUUAUACAUAA